rnacentral:rRNA from 1 species
AUUAUUUUAAGCUAUAUAUUGUUAGUAAGUAAUAUUUAUGAAACCAAAAAAUUUUGGCGGUAUUUUAAGCUCUUUAGAGGAAUUUGCUCUGUAAUGGACACAACGCCUGGAUCUUACUUAAUUUUGUAAUUAAAGUCAGUUUGUAUACCACUAUAUAAAAUAUAUUGAGUGAUAAUAUUUAAGAUUUUAAAGGUUAAACAUAUAUUAAGUCAUGGUGCAAUUUAUAAUUAUGAAUGAAGUGAAUUAUAUUAAUUUUAAUAAUAAAAAAUUAUGGAAAAAUUUUUAGGAUUUAAUAGUAAAAUAUUAAUAUAAUGAAUAUUUGAAUAGAGCUCUAAAAUAUGCAC